AUUGAACGCUGGCGGCAUGCUUUACACAUGCAAGUCGAACGGCAGCGCGGGCUUCGGCCUUGCGGCGAGUGGCGAACGGGUGAGUAAUGCAUCGGAACGUGCCCAGUAGUGGGGGAUAGCGCGGCGAAAGCCGGGUUAAUACCGCAUACGACCUGAGGGUGAAAGCGGGGGACCGUCAGGCCUCGCGCUAUCGGAGCGGCCGAUGUCGGAUUAGCUAGUUGGUGGGGUAAAGGCUUACCAAGGCGACGAUCCGUAGCUGGUCUGAGAGGACGACCAGCCACACUGGAACUGAGACACGGCCCAGACUCCUACGGGAGGCAGCAGUGGGGAAUUUUGGACAAUGGGGGCAACCCUGAUCCAGCCAUGCCGCGUGCGGGAAGAAGGCCUUCGGGUUGUAAACCGCUUUUGUUCGGGAAGAAAUCCUCUGAGCUAAUACCCCGGGGGGAUGACGGUACCGGAAGAAUAAGCACCGGCUAACUACGUG
rnacentral:rRNA from 1 species